AUGUUUUUUUUUUUUUUCCCUGCACGUCAUUAGUGCGGGCUCCCACAUGAUGAGAGCAGGGCUUACCUGUCCCUCCCCUCUCCCCACUUGGAGGCAACGCCCCCUUUUCCACACUGACCCAUAGCAACGCAGGCUCCUUUACAGACCCCUCCCACCUUACUCCUCCCCCUCUCCUAUUUAAAAGCCAAGCAGCCCCACAAUGUCAGACAUUGCUGGAUGGCUGCAGCAGCUGUACACACUCUACACUGCUUGUGUUUUCUUCCCAUCUUCCGAUCCCUCUACUGACCUCUCUGGCCACUUUUUGUCAUUACAGGUAAAAAUAUAUAUAUAUACAAUCAAUAAACUUUUACGCUGUGACACUUCGGGCCAAAGGUCUUGCUACGCUGUGAUUGAUAUUAGAUGCCAGUCCUCACUCCUCUCCUUACCAUCUGAGGCUUGCCAUGCGUCCCGAUUGCGAUGUCCUUUUAAGGGGUGUGCUGAGCCGUUGAAACUUCUCGGGUGAAAAGUUGUCUGUUACACUUUCUGACUCCACACAUACUUC